CGUGGAUGGAAGUAAGCCCCGGAUCAGAGGGUACCUUGCAGAGCACUGUCACAACACUUUUUAGCAGAAACUAUCGAUUUUUAAUUUUUUUAUUUUUUAAUUACAGCCUACAUUUAACAGUAUUUUGUUUUAGUUUCAGGUGUACAGCAUAGUGGUUAGACAAUCGUAUCCUGUACAAAGUGUUCCCUCGAUACUUCUAGUACCCACCUGGCACCAUACAUAAAUAUUAGAAUAUUAUUGACUGUACUUCCUGUGACUACCAAAUUGUACUUCUUAAUCCCUUCAACAUUUUCACCCAGCCCCCACCCGCCUCCCCUCUGUCAGUCAUCAGCCUGUUCUCCCUGUCUGUGAGUCUGUUUCAAUUUUGUUUAUUUUGCUCUUUAUAUUCCACAUAUAAGUGAAAUCAUAUGGUAUCCGUCUUUCUCUGUCUAAAUUAUUUCAUUUAGCAUAACAUCCUCUAGGUCCAAUACUGCAGACAAAACAAACGGGGGUUUUCAGUGAGGACUGGGGAGCAUUCCUUUCUUCAAACUUCUCUGUGCUUGUAGAACGGGUGCUCUGCUCCUUUGGGACCCUCCAUCCAUGCUGUAGCAAAUGAGCAGCUGCUUCCUUUACACAUCCACAGAGAAUCCACCAAAUGACUCCCACAAUGCAUUUAGCUGGUCCCCUGCUGGUAGGCCUUCCAGGCUUUUGCAUUUACAAUGCAUAUCCUCCUGCAAACAUCAUUUACCACACUUGUGACACGUGUGAGGAAGACAGUCCCAGAAGAUAUAUUUGAAGAAGAAGAAGAUCCUGGAUGGCAAGUGAGCUUAUCUUCAUUAGUCUUUAGGGGAAUGCAAACAGAAACCAUGGUCAGCAGCCACUACACACCUAUAGAAUGAGCUAACAGUAAAAAGACUGACAAUUCCAAGCAUGGGACAUGAUAUGUAAAAGCUGGAACUCUCACAUUGCUGGUGGUAAUGCCAAAUGGCCAACCACCCUGGUAAGCAGCUUGUUAGUCUCAUAAAAUCAAAUAUACACCCACCUACAACCCAGCCCUUCCCCUCCCAAGAGAAAUAAAAAACACACCAAAAAACCUGUAUGCAAAUAUUUAUAGAAUUACUCAUUAUAACUAAAACAAAGAACUUGAAAGUCUAUGAAUCUGAAAAACCAAUUGUGGAACACUGACCUGUGGAAUACUUCUCAGCAACAAAAAAGAAAUAACUACAGAAAGAGGCAACAACGUGGGUAAGUCUCAAGUGCAUUAUGCCAAGUCCAAGAAGCCAGACUGAAAAGGCAGCAUUCAGUACGAGUCCAUUUGUGUGCCAUUCUGGAAAAGGCAAAACCACAGUUACACAAAACAGAUACAGAAGGGAAGGAGAGAGGCCCAGAGGACCAGCUUCACUCCCCACUCGAUGUGCAGCUCAGCCCAUUUCUCCUCUCUGGGCCUCAGUCUCCAGCUCUGUAAUGUGACCUGUAAUAGAACCGCCCUCACUGAGCUCUGUGAGGAAAGAGGGGAACCAAAGGGGGCAAGUGCUAACUACGGUCUCAUCCCCACCAGCCCAAACACCCACUCACACUGGGUGAAGAGAACAAAUUCGGAAGGUAAACCAGUGGGAAAAGGGGCACACUCUCCUUUGCUUUGGGCCUCAGUUUCCCUAUCUUGCAGUGUGAGUGAAUUGGGCUAAAUGACAGCUGGCAAACUCGGAGCCAUUUCUAGCCCCCACAUACAUUUCGUUUUACCCCAUGAUUGCUUUCUCCCUACCCCUUUCCCCAGUUUUUAUUAUGAAAAAUUUCAAGCACAUAAGCAACUGAAGCCUGAGACGACCAUCGUCCACACUUGACCCCUCUGCUCGCUCGCUCUGCUUCUCUCUCUCCCCAUGUAGACAUAUAUUGUUUUCUGAAUCGUUUAAGGUAAGUUACUGACAUCAUAAUCUUUUGCUCCUAACCCUUCAGCAUGUAUCGCCUGAGAACAAGACUUUCUCCUUGUAAGCAUGAUACGGUUAUCCUACCGAAGAAAAAAGCAGUAAUUCCAGACAUCUAAUACAUGGUCCACAUUCAGGUACCCAACCAGCUCCAAAAUGUCGUAUAGGCUAAAUUUUUUUGAAUCAGUUUCAUUUUAUCUCUUUUUCCCUCAGUUUUUAUUUUGAAAAAAUUUAGAUCUCCAGAAAAAUGGCCCAAACCCUGCCAUGAAUAUGCAUAUGAACUUUAUCUGGACCCAUCAACUGUUAACAGUUUGCCAGAUCCUCUCUCUUUCUCCCCUAACCAUUGAAGAGUUAGUGGCAGACACACAUAAUUGUGUUUUUUAAUCAGUUGCCAUCACUUCAAUAUCAGAAGACCUCACUUUAUUCUUUUAUUUCCAGCUCCUAUUGAAAUAGCUCCUGUUCAGAGAACCCAGAACAGGUCUCCAAUAUGGAACAGUCAGCUGGAGUGAGCAGCAGCCCCCCCUUUGGACAGGCGGUUAAUCUCCACUUUGCCACACCCACACUGCUCCCUGUUGUCUGAUACCCUGCCUG